GCCAUAUAUAAAUUAUGAAUUUUGUGACAAGACAAGCACACCAUAAAACGAGAAGUUUUAACCAAUGCUAUCAUUUGUUGUCUCUAGAGAAAUAGUCCAGAGGCAUGAGACCAACAGAAACUGAAACAUACCCGGCCGGCAUGAGUCAUAUUUUUGUGGCAUUUUCCUAUGGCGUCUAUACUAUAGUACUGGACAUGCAUUGCCUCAUCACCUGACGUCACCGCCCCCGACACAACACACCCAUAAGUCCAGAGACGAGGCCAUCGCCCCACCCCGC
rnacentral:lncRNA from 1 species